rnacentral:rRNA from 1 species
UACGUAGGGUGCGAGCGUUAAUCGGAAUUACUGGGCGUAAAGCGUGCGCAGGCGGUUUUGUAAGCCAGAUGUGAAAUCCCCGGGCUUAACCUGGGAAUGGCAUUUGGGACUGCAAGGCUCGAGUGCGGCAGAGGAGACUGGAAUUCCUGGUGUAGCAGUGAAAUGCGUAGAUAUCGGGAGGAACACCGAUGGCGAAGGCAGGUCUCUGGGCUGACACUGACGCUCAUGCACGAAAGCGUGGGGAGCAAACAGG